rnacentral:rRNA from 1 species
AGAGUUUGAUCCUGGCUCAGGACGAACGCUAGCGGCGUGCCUAAGGUAUGCAAGUCGAACGGGGAAGCAAUUCCUAGUGGCGAACGGUCGAGUAACACGUAGACAACCUGCCUCCCAGCGGGGGAUACCAGCGGGAAACCGCUGCUAAUACCGCAUGCGCUCCAGCCGGGCAGCCGGUCUGGAUGAAAGGAGCUUCGGCUUCACUGGGAGAUGGGUCUGCGGCCUAUCAGCUCGUUGGCGGGGUAACGGCCCACCAAGGCGACGACGGGUAGCUGGUCUGAGAGGAUGAUCAGCCGGACGGGGACUGAGACACGGCCCCGACUCCUUCGGGAGGCAGCAAUGAGGAAUCUUGCGCAAUGGGGGCAACCCUGACGCAGCGACGCCGCGUGGGUGAGGAAGUCCUUCGGGAUGUAAAGCCCUUUUCUGGGGGACGAGAACGGACGGUACCCCAGGAAGAAGCCCCGGCUAACUACGUGCCAGCAGCCGCGGUAAUACGUAGGGGGCAAGCGUUGUCCGGAUUUACUGGGCGUAAAGAGCGCGUAGGCGGAAUGGUAAGCGGGGCCGGAAAGCCCCCGGCUCAACCGGGGAAGGGGCCGCGAACUGCCAUUCUUGAGGGGGAGAGGGGAGAGCGGAAUUCCUGGUGUAGCGGUGAAAUGCGUAGAGAUCAGGAGGAACACCAAUGGCGAAGGCAGCUCUCUGGCUUCACCCUGACGCUGAGGCGCGAAAGCGUGGGGAGCGAACGGGAUUAGAUACCCCGGUAGUCCACGCCGUAAACGAUGAUCACUAGGCGUUGGUGGUAUCGACCCCACCAGUGCCGCAGCUAACGCAAUAAGUGAUCCGCCUGGGGAGUACGGCCGCAAGGUUGAAACUCAAAGGAAUUGACGGGGGCCCGCACAAGCGGAGGAGCAUGUGGUUUAAUUCGAUGGUACGCGAGGAACCUUACCUGGGCUUGAAAGUUAGUGAUCGGUUGUGAAAGCAGCUAUUCCGCAAGGACACGAAACUAGGUGCUGCAUGCCGUCGUCAGCUCGUGCCGUGAGGUGUUGGGUUAAGUCCCGCAACGAGCGCAACCCCUACUAUUAGUUGCCAGCACGUAAAGGUGGGAACUCUAAUGGAACUGCCCGCGCAAGCGGUGAGGAAGGUGGGGACGACGUCAAGUCAUCACGGCCCUUACGUCCAGGGCUACACACGUGCUACAAUGGCAGAUACAAAGGGUCGCUACAUGGCAACAUGAUGCUAAUCUCUAAACUCUGUCCCAGUUCGGAUUGAGGUCUGCAACUCGACCUCAUGAAGCUGGAUUCGCUAGUAAUCGAAAAUCAGCAAUGUUUCGGUGAAUACGUUCCCGGGCCUUGUACACACCGCCCGUCAAGCCAUGGGAGUUGGGGGUAUCUAAAGUCGAUAACCGCAAGGAGUCGCCUAGGAUAAAACCGAUGACUGGGGCUAAGUCGUAACAAGGUA